UUUCAGAGACACUGAACACACCAGCAGCACAAUGAUGAUGUCACUGACUCUACUGCUGACCACCCUGGGGCUCCUUGUUCAGGGUUCAUCAGGACAAAUCAGUCUGGUUCAGACUCCUGGAGCUCAGUCUGUUACUCCAGGACAGACUGUCUCCAUUAAAUGUAAAGUUAGUCCAGGUACCAGUUAUUGCUUCAACUGGUACCUUCAGAAAUCAGGAGAAUCUCCCAAACUUCUUAUUUCUUGUACUAAUAGUCGUGAAUCUGGAGUUUCUGAUCGUUUCAGUGGAACAAGCUCUGGAAAUACUGACUUCACUCUGACCAUCAGCAGAGUUCAGGACUGA